rnacentral:rRNA from 1 species
GAUGAACGCUGGCGGCGUGCCUAAUACAUGCAAGUCGAGCGAACGGACGAGAAGCUUGCUUCUCUGAUGUUAGCGGCGGACGGGUGAGUAACACGUGUAUAACCUACCUAUAAGACUGGGAUAACUUCGGGAAACCGGAGCUAAUACCGGAUAAUAUUUUGAACCGCAUGGUUCAAAAGUGAAAGACGGUCUUGCUGUCACUUAUAGAUGGAUCCGCGCUGCAUUAGCUAGUUGGUAAGGUAACGGCUUACCAAGGCAACGAUGCAUAGCCGACCUGAGAGGGUGAUCGGCCACACUGGAACGGAGACACGGUCCAGACUCCUACGGGAGGCAGCAGUAGGGAAUCUUCCGCAAUGGGCGAAAGCCUGACGGAGCAACGCCGCGUGAGUGAUGAAGGUCUUCGGAUCGUAAAACUCUGUUAUUAGGGAAGAACAUAUGUGUAAGUAACUGUGCACAUCUUGACGGUACCUAAUCAGAAAGCCACGGCUAACUACGUG